rnacentral:rRNA from 1 species
AUUGAACGCUGGCGGCAUGCCUUACACAUGCAAGUCGAACGGUAACGGGCCUUCGGGUGCCGACGCGUGGCUAACGGGUGAGUAAUACACCGGAACGUGCCCGAUCGUGGGGGCUAACGGGGCGAAGGCUUUGCUAAUACCGCAUACGAUCUGCGGAUGAAAGCAGGGGACCGCAAUGCCUUGCGCGGACCAUGCGGCCGAGGGCAGAUUAGGUAGUUGGUGGGAUAAAAGCUUACCACGCCGACGAUCUGUAGCUGGUCUGAGAGGAUGAUCAGCCACACUGGGACUGAGACACGGCCCAGACUCCUACGGGAGGCAGCAGUGGGGAAUUUUGGACAAUGGGCGCAAGCCUGAUCCAGCCAUGCCGCGUGCAGGAUGAAGGCCUUCGGGUUGUAAACUGCUUUUGUACGGAACGAAAAGCCUUCUUUUAAUACAGGAGGGUCAUGACGGUACCGUAAGAAUAAGCACCGGCUAACUACGUG